rnacentral:rRNA from 1 species
GGGUUGUGAGGUUAAGCGACUAAGCGUACACGGUGGAUGCCCUGGCAGUCAGAGGCGAUGAAGGACGUGCUAAUCUGCGAUAAGCGUCGGUAAGGUGAUAUGAACCGUUAUAACCGGCGAUUUCCGAAUGGGGAAACCCAGUGUGUUUCGACACACUAUCAUUAACUGAAUCCAUAGGUUAAUGAGGCGAACCGGGGGAACUGAAACAUCUAAGUACCCCGAGGAAAAGAAAUCAACCGAGAUUCCCCCAGUAGCGGCGAGCGAACGGGGAGGAGCCCAGAGCCUGAAUCAGUGUGUGUGUUAGUGGAAGCGUCUGGAAAGGCGCGCGAUACAGGGUGACAGCCCCGUACACAAAAAUGCACAUGCUGUGAGCUCGAUGAGUAGGGCGGGACACGUGGUAUCCUGUCUGAAUAUGGGGGGACCAUCCUCCAAGGCUAAAUACUCCUGACUGACCGAUAGUGAACCAGUACCGUGAGGGAAAGGCGAAAAGAACCCCGGCGAGGGGAGUGAAAAAGAACCUGAAACCGUGUACGUACAAGCAGUGGGAGCAUGCUUAGGCGUGUGACUGCGUACCUUUUGUAUAAUGGGUCAGCGACUUAUAUUCUGUAGCAAGGUUAACCGAAUAGGGGAGCCGAAGGGAAACCGAGUCUUAACUGGGCGUUAAGUUGCAGGGUAUAGACCCGAAACCCGGUGAUCUAGCCAUGGGCAGGUUGAAGGUUGGGUAACACUAACUGGAGGACCGAACCGACUAAUGUUGAAAAAUUAGCGGAUGACUUGUGGCUGGGGGUGAAAGGCCAAUCAAACCGGGAGAUAGCUGGUUCUCCCCGAAAGCUAUUU